GACAGAGGUCCCGAGCGUUAGGCGGAAUUACUGGGCGUAAAGCGUGCGUAGGUGGUCUGUUAAGUCUGAUGUGAAAGCCCUGGGCCCAACCUGGGAAUUGCAUUGGAUACUGGCAGGCUAGAGUGCGGUAGAGGGUAGUGGAAUUCCCGGUGUAGCAGUGAAAUGCGUAGAGAUCGGGAGGAACACCAGUGGCGAAGGCGACUACCUGGACCAGCACUGACACUGAGGCACGAAAGCGUGGGGAGCAAACAGG
rnacentral:rRNA from 1 species